CAGAUUGUAGCUUAUGUUUAAAGCUUUUUAUUUACAUUAAAAUUAAAAUUUAUAUUCUUUCUGA
rnacentral:tRNA from 1 species